rnacentral:lncRNA from 10 species
GCGUAAUCUCAGUUCACUGCAACCUCCACCUCCCGGGUUCAAGCAAUUCUCCUGCCUCAGCCUUCCAAGUAGCUGGGAUUACAGGAGCGUGCCAGCAUGCCCAGCUAAUUUUUUGUAUUUAGUAGAGUUGGGGUUUUGCCAUGUUGGCCAAGCUGGUCUGAAACUCCUGACCUCAUGAUCUGCCCCCCUUGGCCUCCUAAAGUGCUGAGAUUACAGGCAUGAGCCACCGCGCCCGGCGGGUCAGUGGAAAUUUUUUUAAAUGGUGGUGACACCAUCUCUGGUGCUUCCACCCUGUGGCUCCUGGCUCCCAGCCAUUUUUCAUGGUGGCAAAGACUGCCCCCAGGGUGGUGGCAGAGGUCAGUGUGUGGCCUGGACGAGUCCCAGCCAACAUGCUCCUCACCCCAUCCUGGACGCAACGUGGAGGUGGUAGAGAGAGAGGAGCAAGGGAAGCUGGACCCCCGCAGAGUGGACCACUACUCUACAGGGACAUGCAUGAGGGACACCUGGAUCUGAACAGCUAGCACUGAGACACUCCAACACACGGUACCUGGAAACCGCAGGUGGCACUUUGAGGAAACAACCAGAAAUAACUCCCUCUGAAAUCCCUUGGGCUCACAGCUCUGCAGCGGGGGUAAAUCAGCUCGAGAAGACCUCGGUUGUACCUUCCACGGGCUGGAAAAUGGGCACGGCAAAGAUAGGCACGGCCUGAUCCCUGGAGCCUGCGAAUGCUACUUUCCAUGGCAGCGUCUUUGCAGUCUUGCUGUGUGGCUUUAGGCAGAUCGUGCAACCUCUCUGAGAGACGCUUUAGUCCGGGGAUGUCCACUCUUUUAACUUCCCUGGGCCACAUUGGAAGAAGAAUUUGUCUUGGGCCACACAUAAAAUACUCUUAACACUGGCGGGGCGCGGUGGCUCACGCCUGUAAAUCCCAGCACUUUGUGAGGCCGAGGCUGGUGGAUCACCUGACAUCAGAAGUUUGAGACCAGCCUGGCCAACGUGGCAAAACCCCGUGUCUACUAAAGAUAGAAAAAAUAAGCUGGGCAUGGUGGCCUGCGCCUGUAAUCCCAGCUACUCGGGAGGCCAAGGCAGGAGAAUCGCUUGACCUGGAAGGCAGAGGUUGACGUGAGCCCAGAUCGGGCCACUGCACUCCAGCCUGGGUGAGAGAGAGAGACUUUGUCUCAGAGAAAAAAAAAAAAAAAACGAAAACAAAAACAAAAACCAAAACUUAGGCGUUUUAAGAAAAUUUACCAAUUUGUCUUGGGCCACAAGCUGCCCGUGCGGUUGGACAAGCUGGCUUUAGUCCAUUCUUUGGAAGGGGAGGGGUAGUAAAAUAAUACCAAAGUGCCUUGUAAAUUGUAAAAGGUCCCACAUAUUAUAGGCUAUUAAGAAUGCUCCCAGGGGAGGGAAAUAUUAAAACACUUAAAACCCAUUUCACAUUUAUACCUUUAGUAUGAUUAGUUUAUAUGUAUAGGCCGGGAGCAGUGGCUCACGUCUGUAAUCCCAGCACUUUGGGAGUCUGAGGCAUGCAGAUCACUUGAGGUCAGGAGUUCGAGACCAGCCUGGCCAACAUGAUGAGACGCCCAUCUCUACUAAAACUACAAAAAUUAGCCAGGCGUCGUGGCGGGUGCCUACAAUCCUGGCUACUCGGGAGGCUGAGGCAGGAGAAUCACAACCUGGGAGGCGGAGGUUCAGUGAGCUGAGAUCACGCCACUGCACUUCAGCUUGGGUGACAGAGCAAGACUUCAUCUCAAAUUAAAAUAUAAAAAUUUGUAUGUAUUUACUCAACAAACAUUUCUGCAGAGAUCAACAAUGUGCCAGGGCCUCUAGACUCAGAUACCAGUGCCUGAGGCAGAGAAAGAGACUGCCCAAAGAUAAUUUUUGAAUAGUUUGUAGCAAGUCAGCAAGAAGGAAGGAGGGUCUGGGGAAGGAGGGACCAAGGCUGUGUUCUGAAUGUUGCUAGAGGAGAAAAGGUUCUGUAAGGGACAGAGGGAUGCAGUCUAGAGGGGUAGGGAGCAGGUGGGAGGCUGCUUCCCAGACUUCACUACUUGGGAGGCCCACAGACUUGGGCUAUGGCAGCCGUUGUUACUAUGGCUUAAGGGAGAGAAACAGAAGUGUGGAUGCUUCUAACAAAGAGAUAAAGAAUAAAUACAUAAAGAGGGUAGGUAUUGCAUUGUUUUAUUUUUACGUACCCCUAAAGAGGGGUUAGAGGCCGGGCGUGGUGGCUUAUGC